rnacentral:lncRNA from 1 species
UUUUAGCUGUCAGUUAACAAUGCAUAGGCUUGAAGCACUGAAUGCAUUUCCUGUGUAAGGAACAUAAGCAGUAUAUUUUUUUAUACUGAUAGCAUGGGCUUUUCCUGGCAUGCCAUCACCCUGCUGGUUUUCUGCUUUGCCUAUUAUAGCGAAGGGUGAUGAGGCCGUUGUUCAGCACAAGCCAUGAGGCUUUCUCUUAUCUUACUUUAACCCUCUUCUCCAAGCCAACCAAUGUAGCCUUGUCUUUGAUGAUUCAUUCUCUUUUUUUUUUUCAUUUGUUUUUCAGAAACGCUGAAAAGCAAUUUCGCACAGGCCACGGAGUCACAAAUACAUCUUUCGAUUGCCGAAUGGCUCCGUUAUGCACCAUCAAGACAGAAGAAACGGGAUGCAGCUUCGCCUUUGAUGUCAUGAAUCAGACCAUCAUCAUGAGCAGCUGGAGGCCACCAGGGGACAAGGGGACAAGAAGUUUCUAGAUGUGCUGAAUUUUUGAGGCAAAUGUUGACAGUACUUUAAAUUUGUAGUUUUCCAGUGCAACGGCACAUGGCCAAACAAGGGAUGAAGGAGACUUGGAAGAAAACAGUGCAGCAACAGGGACAAGACAGAAGACUGUACAGGUGCUGACUAGCAACUGAAGGUUUAUUGAAAAGGAAAACAUAAAAUAUACUCCCUUUACAACCUAGAGCACGCAUGGUCUACACCAACAACUCUGAUAAGCUGUCAGCUUCAGUUUUGGUGGUCAGCUACAACAGUUCGCAGUGAUGAACGAGGACGGAUGGGGUCCGCAACACAUGCGUAAUCACCCCAUCCGUCCUCGUUCAUGACUGUUACCUGUUGUAGCUGACCACCAUGACUGAAGUUGACAGCUUAUCAGAGUUGUUGGUGUAGACCAUGCGUGCUCUAGGUUGUAAAGGGAGUAUAUUUUAUGUUUUCCUUUUCAAUAAACCUUCAGUUGCUAGUCAGCACCUGUACAGUCUUCUGUCUUGUCCCUGUUGCUGCACUGUUUUCUUCAAGUAUGUACAAAUUCGCUUAUCUCGCCGUUUUACUUAAGUUGGGAAGAAGGAUAAAACAUGGCGCUCACUGACAACUGGUUAUUUAAUGAUGCAGACACUACUUAAAUGCCCUCAGUCCAGCGCAGGCGCACACCGUACAAGGAAAAAGGAACAUAUCACAACUUUAUCACAAAAAAAACGUUAAAGAAACACUAUUUCUAUGUUAUAUAAUGCAACUGAAGUAUUGCUCACAUAUUGUGAACCAGCAUUUUUAAUAUAAUGCGCCUCUGUCACUUCA